GGCUCAGAACGAACGCUGGCGGCGUGCUUAACACAUGCAAGUCGAACGAGGUGCUUUUGUAGCAAUACGAGAGUAUCCUAGUGGCGAACGGGUGAGUAACGCGUUGGUGACCUACCCCAAAGUGUGGGAUAACAGUCCGAAAGGAUUGCUAAUACCGCAUGUGGUCUUCGGAUUUAGAAACUGAUGACUAAAGGAGCAAUUCGCUUUGGGAGGGACCUGCGUCCCAUCAGCUAGUUGGUGAGGUAACGGCUCACCAAGGCGACGACGGGUAGGGGACCUGAGAGGGUGGCCCCCCACAAUGGAACUGAAACACGGUCCAUACACCUACGGGUGGCAGCAGUAGGGAAUAUUGCUCAAUGGGCGAAAGCCUGAAGCAGCAACGCCGCGUGUGCGAUGAAGGCCUUCGGGUCGUAAAGCACUUUUCUGCGAGAUGAGAAAGGACAGUAUCGUAGGAAUAAGUCUCGGCUAACUACGUGCCAGCAGCCGCGGUAAAACGUAGGAGGCAAGCGUUAUCCGGAUUCACUGGGCGUAAAGCGCGUGCAGGCGGUGCGGUAAGUUGGGCGUGAAAUCUCCCGGCUCAACUGGGAUAGGUCGUCCAAUACUACCGUACUUGAGAGCAGAAGAGGAAAAUGGAAUUCCCGGUGUAGUGGUGAAAUGCGUAGAUAUCGGGAGGAACACCAGUGGCGAAGGCGAUUUUCUGGUCUGUUUCUGACGCUCAGACGCGACAGCUAGGGUAGUAAACGGGAUUAGAGACCCCGGUAAUCCUAGCCGUAAACGAUGUGAACUUGGCGUUGGUGGGUUAAACUCCAUCAGUGCCGUAGCAAACGCGAUAAGUUCACCGCCUGG
rnacentral:rRNA from 1 species